rnacentral:rRNA from 1 species
UACGGAGGAUCCGAGCGUUAUCCGGAUUUAUUGGGUUUAAAGGGUGCGUAGGCGGCUUAUUAAGUCAGGGGUGAAAGACGGUGGCUCAACCAUCGCAGUGCCCUUGAUACUGAUGAGCUUGAAUACACUUGAGGUAGGCGGAAUGUGACAAGUAGCGGUGAAAUGCAUAGAUAUGUCACAGAACACCAAUUGCGAAGGCAGCUUACUAAGGUGCAAUUGACGCUGAGGCACGAAAGCGUGGGGAUCAAACAGG